UUUAGGAUGGAAGUCAAUAGCAAACUGAAUCAUAGGCUUAGUUAGAUUCUAAAACUGUAAGCUAUAGGCUAUGUGUGGUAAAUAUGCAUGUGAGUCAGUGGUAAAUUCUGUACAAGCAUGCUAAAUCAGACUAGGAUGAUGUAAUGUUAGCUUAGCCUAGUGAAUUAGCAUGUGAGUCAAUGAUACAUUCAACAUAAGAAUGCAAAAUUAGGACAGAAAUCAAUGGUAAACUGAAUCAUAGCAUGCUAAAUUGCAUUGCGAUACUGUUAGCUAUAUGAUAAAGAACCAGGUUAAGCAAUGAUAGCUCCUGCAUUAGCAUGGUAAAUUAGACUAGGAUAAUAUGUCAUGUUAGCUUAGCCUAGUGAAUUAGCAUUUUAAUCUAUGAUUAAUUCUACACAACAAUGCAAAAUUAGGAAAGAAGUCAAUGUGGUGAACGCAGCAUUAAACCUGGAGGAGAUGCAGUUUACUCCCCUAUGAGACUAAACAUGUGACCAACCAGGAAUGGACGUGGUGGUCAUGUGACAUCAGGCUACAGGAACUGGGUCUCAGCAGCCGUCCACCCAUGAAGAGAAAAUCCAUUUUCAAAAACCCAGUUAAAAAAAAACAAGAAAAAAAAGAAGGUUGCUCCAGUAAACAGUGAUGAAACUUACGGUCGUCCUCGCCCUGCGCCCUGACCAAAAGCACCGCUGCACCGAGCAGCAGCGCGAGCCGCAAAUCCACAAAGCUGAACAUGACUAGAUGCCACCAGACAUGUAGACUCUUUGAGGCGAGAGGAAAAAAAAGUUGGGGAUGUUUUCUCUUCCUGCUACACUCCACUCAUAUACUGGUGUUUGGGGCAGGGUCCGCUCGUCUUGUUCACAAUCCUCCUGACCCCAGCAGAAAACUCCCUACUGCCUACACUCACUUUCCACCAGGGUUUUUAUAUGGGAGCCUGAAGAACUGGGAGGUGCUGGGGACUGGACCGGCUGGGGACGCACCCUCAUUACCCCGCUGCUGCACGUUUAGGGAAGACAAGAAUGGACCCCUCCUUCAAAGAAAGAAAAAAAAAAAACAGCAGAAGAAAAGAAGAAGAAGAAGAAAAAGCAGCAGGUCCCUCCUUCCAUAAUUCCACAGCAGAAGGGUUGGAGUUUGGAUCAGAGGAGGAAGGGGGGAGCAGGAGGAAACCUGAUCCUGAAGAGCAUCGGAGGGUCGGAGGAGGAUCUUCUCCUCCAGCAGCCAUGGGUUUAAUCCAGAUUUUAUUUCUGGUUCUGGUCUGCUUCCUGAUUCACUUUGAUUUCAGUUGAGUUUUAGACUCCUUCUGGGAGUCUGGCUUCAGUUUUAGGUUUAGUCCACCAAAGAAAAUCUCAGAACAUUACAGUUUUAGUCCAGUUUCAGUGUGUUGUGUUUCAGGAUAGGUUCUUGCAUUUUUUUAAGAUAAGUAUUUGGUUGUAGAUUGUGUCAUCAAAGUGUUUUUAUGGUUUAACAUGUGCUGAGCAUGGCUGCAGGCUUAGUUGGUUUUGGUUAGUAGGGUUAGCUUAUAGCUUGUAUUUGUGUUUCUGUUGUUAAUUCAGUUCUGAUGAUUAUAGAUGUUUGACUUCAGGUUUGGAAAGCCUCAUUGUUUGCAUUGUUCACAUGACUUAACAUUAACUUGUUUCAUGUGUUGGAUUGUCACCAUGUUAUAACCUCAGCACUAAAGCUUGAACUAGAGAUAGUUUUAAUAAGAACUUGUUUGUAGCCUACAUUUUCAGCUUGUCAAUCUUCGUCUCCCUCAAGCAGAAAAAUUCAGGUUCGAGACAUUUAUUUGUCCCCGAGGGGCAAAAGAAAAAAAUGGUCACCAUAUUGACAAAAUGUUAGCUUUACUUUCUUAGGGCUGUCAAUCCAUUAAAAUAUUGAAUCGAC